rnacentral:rRNA from 1 species
UCAAGCGAACAAGGGCGCAGGGCGAAUGCCUUGGCACUGGGAGCCGAUGAAAGACGUGAUAAGCUGCGAUAAGCUUCGGGGAGCUGCAAAUAAGCAUUGAUCCGGAGAUUUCUGAAUGAGGAAACUCACCUGGGUUCAUACUCAGGUACGUUAUACUGAACUUUAAAAUAGGUAUAUCGAGGGAACCGCCUGAACUGAAACAUCUAAGUAGGGCGAGGAAGAGACAUCAAACGAGAUUCCGUAAGUAGUGGCGAGCGAACGCGGAAGAGGGCAAACCGGGAGUCGAAAGACUUCCGGGGUACGGAGCGCAUUUAAGACUUAAGUUGUUAACCGAACGGCAUGGGAAGGCCGGUCAGAGAGUGUGAGAACCACGUAGGUGAAAGCGACGAGAGCUGAGCGAUUUCCAGAGUACGGCCAGACACGUGAAACCUGGUCGGAAGAUGGGGGGACCACCCUCCAACCCUAAAUACUACCCAGUGACCGAUAGCGUAUAGUACUGUGAAGGAAAGGUGAAAAGCACCCCGGGAGGGGAGUGAAAAAGAACCUGAAACCCUGUGCCUACAAGCACCUAGAGCACGUCAAUGUGUGAUAGGGUACUUUUUGUAGAACGGUCCGGCGAGCGAUUGUAUGCAGCAAGGUUAAGGACUUAAGGUCUGGAGCCGAAGCGAAAGCGAGUUUGAAAAGGGCGUUAAGUUGCAUAUAAUGGGCCCGAAACCGGGUGACCUACCCAUGGUCAGGUUGAAGUGGAAGUAAAAUUCCAUGGAGGACCGAACCGACCUCCGUUGAAAAGGCGGCGGAUGAACUGUGGGUAGCGGAGAAAUUCCAAUCGAACCCGGAGAUAGCUGGUUCUCCCCGAAAUAGUUUUAGGACUAGCCUCAAGUUAGAUACCUGGAGGUAAAGCACUGAAUAGCCUAGCGGCCGAGAGGUUAGCGAAGCUUAUCAAACUCAGAAUGCCAGAGUAUUGAUGCUUGGGAGUCAGACAGUGUCAGAUAAAUGUCAUUGUCAAAAGGGAAACAGCCCAGAUCUACAGCUAAGGUCCCAAAGUCAGGUUAAGUGGAAAACGAUGUGAAGAUACGCAGACAACCAGGAUGUUGGCUCAGAAGCAGCCACUCAUUCAAAGAGUGCGUAAUAGCUCACUGGUCGAGCGUCUUUGCGCGGAGAAUUUAACGGGGCUAAACCUGACACCGAAGCUUAGGCAAUCCAGUAAUGGAUUGGGUAGGGGAGCGUUGUAUACGCGGAGAAACAGUAGCGUAAGCGGCUGUGGAGUGUAUAGAAGUGAGAAUGCCGGAAUGAGUAGCGCGAAUGCAGUGAGAAUCUGCAUGGCCGAAAGCCUCAGGUUUUUGGAGGAAGGUUCGUCCGCUCCAAGUUAGUCGGGAGCUAAGGUGAGGCCGAAAGGCGUAGCCGAUGCACAGACGGUAGAGAUUCCGUCACCACCAAAAGAGUUAAGCACAGGGACACAUUUGAAGUCUCAGAGCCGGGUGUUGGUUCCGGUAGAGAUCGAGGGAAAUUAGUACCGAAGUCUGGGAUGGAAGAUGGCGAGAAAAGCUGUGUGUAUUUCUGAGGUGCCCGUACCGCAAACCGACACAGGUAGGUAGGAAGAAGAUUCUAAGGCCAACGGGAGAAGGGUUGUUAAGGAACUCGGCAAAUUGACCCCGUAACUUCGGGAGAAGGGGUGCUCCAGAGAUGGAGCCGCAGAGAAUCGGCCCAAGCAACUGUUUACCAAAAACACAGGUUUGUGCUAAAUCGAAAGAUGACGUAUACGAGCUGACGCCUGCCCGGUGCUGGAAGGUUAAGAGGAGAUGUGCAAGCAUUGAAUCGAAGCCCCAGUGAACGGCGGCCGUAACUAUAACGGUCCUAAGGUAGCGAAAUUCCUUGUCAGGUAAG